UCUAAAGCUGGAAGGAAUCAGAGAUGAUGU
rnacentral:piRNA from 2 species